rnacentral:tRNA from 3 species
CGGGGAUUGGCGCAAUUGGCUAGCGCGCACGCUUCGGGUGCGUGAGGCUGGGGGUUCGAAUCCCCCAUCCCCGA